UAUUUGGUGCAGUGGAUAGUGCGCUCGCCUCUGGAGCCAUAGGUUGCAGGAUCGAUUCCCCCCUGGACAC